rnacentral:rRNA from 1 species
ACCCGCUGAACUUAAGCAUAUCAAUAAGCGGAGGAAAAGAAACUAACAAGGAUUCCCCUAGUAACGGCGAGUGAAGCGGGAAGAGCUCAACAUUGUAAUCUGGCUGCUUCGCAGUCCGAGUUGUAGUCUAUAGAAGCAUGAUCCGCGCCGGCCCUUGGGCAUGUCUGUUGGAACGCAGUGUCAAAGAGGGUGAAAAUCCCGUACAUACCAAGGACGACCGUGUGCAUUGUGGUCUGCUCUCUAAGAGUCGAGUUGUUUGGGAAUGCAGCUCUAAUUGGGUGGUAAAUUCCAUCUAAAGCUAAAUAUCGACGAGAGACCGAUAGCGAACAAGUACAGUAAUGGAAAGAUGAAAAGUAGCCUGCAGAGGCAAUGAAACAAUACGUGAAACCGUUUGUAGGGAAGCGAUGGAACCUUUUCACGCUGCGAGGGUUCAGCUUGGCUUCGGCUUAGUGUAUUCCCUCGUUUUGCGGACCAGCAUCAGUUUGCUUCGCAGUAUAAGGGUGAUCGGAACGUGGCUUCUCCGGAAGUGUUAUAGCCUUUCACUGGAUGCUGUGUCGCAGACUGAGGACUGCAGUGCGCCGUAAGGCAUGGUCUUCGGGCCACGAGCACUUAGGAUGCUGGGCGAAUGGGUUUCAACGACCCGUCUUGAAACACGGACCAAGGAG